ACACGUGAUUCAGAGUUUGAUCCUGGCUCAGAGCGAACGCUGGCGGCGUGCCUAACACAUGCAAGUCGAACGUGAACGGCUUCGGCCUAGUAAAGUGGCGUACGGGUGAGUAACGCGUAGGUAAUCUACCUUAGAGUUCGGAAUAACCGGCCGAAAGGCUGGCUAAUACUGGAUAGAGCGACGAGAUUCGUAAUUGGAUCUUUCGGGAAAGGGAGGAUGUCAAAGUCCCCUCACUCUAAGAUGAGCCUGCGUCUCAUUAGCUAGUUGGUAGGGUAAUGGCCUACCAAGGCUUUGAUGGGUAGCUGGUCUGAGAGGAUGAUCAGCCACACUGGAACUGAAACACGGUCCAG
rnacentral:rRNA from 1 species